rnacentral:rRNA from 1 species
UACGGAGGGUGCAAGCGUUAUCCGGAUUCACUGGGUUUAAGGGGUGCGUAGGAGGGCAGGUAAGUCAGUGGUGAAAUCUCCGAGCUUAACUUGGAACUGCCGUUGAUACUAUCUGUCUUGAAUAUUGUGGAGGUGAGCGGAAUAUGUCAUGUAGCGGUGAAAUGCUUAGAUAUGACAUAGAACACCAAUUGCGAAGGCAGCUCGCUACACAUAUAUUGACUCUGAGGCACGAAAGCGUGGGGGAUCAAACAG